rnacentral:ncRNA from 1 species
GACCGGGUUCGCCCGGUCCGAACAUAGGCGGGGCGCCCAUCCGGGGCAGCUUCGCCGUCUGCAAACGGAAGACAGAAA